rnacentral:pre_miRNA from 14 species
GACUAUGAGACGGGGGAAAGGGAUAAUGAAAGAUCCCACGCAGAGAGACCCUUACUCAAGUCUUGGGAAAUCGCGGACCCCAGACACACAGAGACCA